rnacentral:rRNA from 1 species
UACGUAGGGGGCAAGCGUUGUCCGGAUUCAUUGGGCGUAAAGAGCGUGUAGGCGGCCAGGUAGGUCGGUUGUGAAAACUGGAGGCUCAACCUUCAGAGGUCGACCGAAACCAUCUGGCUAGAGUCCGGGAGAGGAGAGUGGAAUUCCUGGUGUAGCGGUGAAAUGCGCAGAUAUCAGGAAGAACACCAAUGGCGAAAGCAGCUUUCUGGGAUGGUACUGACGCUGAGACGCGAAAGCGUGGGGAGCGAACAGG